rnacentral:rRNA from 1 species
GGUUAAGCGACUAAGCGUACACGGUGGAUGCCCUGGCAGUCAGAGGCGAUGAAGGACGUGCUAAUCUGCGAAAAGCGUCGGUAAGGUGAUAUGAACCGUUAUAACCGGCGAUGUCCGAAUGGGGAAACCCAGUGCAAUUCGUUGCACUAUCGUUAACUGAAUACAUAGGUUAACGAGGCGAACCGGGGAACUGAAACAUCUAAGUACCCCGAGGAAAAGAAAUCAACCGAGAUUCCCCAGUAGCGGCGAGCGAACGGGGAGCAGCCCAGAGUCUGAAUCAGCUUGUGUGUUAGUGGAACGGUCUGGAAAGUCCGACGGUACAGGGUGAUAGUCCCGUACACCAAAAUGCACAGGUUGUGAACUCGAAGAGUAGGGCGGGACACGUGGUAUCCUGUCUGAAUAUGGGGGACCAUCCUCCAAGGCUAAAUACUCCUGACUGACCGAUAGUGAACCAGUACCGUGAGGGAAAGGCGAAAAGAACCCCGGCGAGGGAGUGAAAAAGAACCUGAAACCGUGUACGUACAAGCAGUGGGAGCACCUUCGGGUGUGACUGCGUACCUUUGUAUAAUGGGUCAGCGACUUAUAUUCUGUAGCAAGGUUAACCGUAUAGGGAGCCGCAGGGAAACCGAGUCUUAACUGGGCGUUAAGUUGCAGGGUAUAGACCCGAAACCCGGUGAUCUAGCCAUGGGCAGGUUGAAGGUUGGGUAACACUAACUGGAGGACCGAACCGACUAAUGUUGAAAAAUUAGCGGAUGACUUGUGGCUGGGGUGAAAGGCCAAUCAAACCGGGAGAUAGCUGGUUCUCCCGAAAGCUAUUUAGGUAGCGCCUCGUGAACUCAUCUUCGGGGUAGAGCACUGUUUCGGCUAGGGGUCAUCCCGACUUACCAACCCGAUGCAAACUACGAAUACCGAAGAAUGUUAUCACGGGAGACACACGGCGGGUGCUAACGUCCGUCGUGAAGAGGGAAACAACCCAGACCGCCAGCUAAGGUCCCAAAGUCAUGGUUAAGUGGGAAACGAUGUGGGAAGGCACAGACAGCCAGGAUGUUGGCUUAGAAGCAGCCAUCAUUUAAAGAAAGCGUAAUAGCUCACUGGUCGAGUCGGCCUGCGCGGAAGAUGUAACGGGGCUAAACCAUGCACCGAAGCUGCGGCAGCGACACUAUGUGUUGUUGGGUAGGGGAGCGUUCUGUAAGCCUGCGAAGGUGUGCUGUGAGGCAUGCUGGAGGUAUCAGAAGUGCGAAUGCUGACAUAAGUAACGAUAAAGCGGGUGAAAAGCCCGCUCGCCGGAAGACCAAGGGUUCCUGUCCAACGUUAAUCGGGGCAGGGUGAGUCGACCCCUAAGGCGAGGCCGAAAGGCGUAGUCGAUGGGAAACAGGUUAAUAUUCCUGUACUUGGUGUUACUGCGAAGGGGGACGGAGAAGGCUAUGUUAGCCGGGCGACGGUUGUCCCGGUUUAAGCAUGUAGGCUGGUUAUCCAGGCAAAUCCGGAUAAUCAAGGCUGAGGUGUGAUGACGAGGCACUACGGUGCUGAAGUAACAAAUGCCCUGCUUCCAGGAAAAGCCUCUAAGCAUCAGGUAACAUCAAAUCGUACCCCAAACCGACACAGGUGGUCAGGUAGAGAAUACCAAGGCGCUUGAGAGAACUCGGGUGAAGGAACUAGGCAAAAUGGUGCCGUAACUUCGGGAGAAGGCACGCUGGUGUGUAGGUGAAGUCCCUGCGGAUGGAGCUGAGACCAGUCGAAGAUACCAGCUGGCUGCAACUGUUUAUUAAAAACACAGCACUGUGCAAACACGAAAGUGGACGUAUACGGUGUGACGCCUGCCCGGUGCCGGAAGGUUAAUUGAUGGGGUUAUCCGUAAGGAGAAGCUCUUGAUCGAAGCCCCGGUAAACGGCGGCCGUAACUAUAACGGUCCUAAGGUAGCGAAAUUCCUUGUCGGGUAAGUUCCGACCUGCACGAAUGGCGUAAUGAUGGCCAGGCUGUCUCCACCCGAGACUCAGUGAAAUUGAACUCGCUGUGAAGAUGCAGUGUACCCGCGGCAAGACGGAAAGACCCCGUGAACCUUUACUAUAGCUUGACACUGAACAUUGAGCCUUGAUGUGUAGGAUAGGUGGGAGGCUUUGAAGCGUGGACGCCAGUCUGCGUGGAGCCAACCUUGAAAUACCACCCUUUAAUGUUUGAUGUUCUAACGUUGGCCCCUGACCGGGGUUGCGGACAGUGUCUGGUGGGUAGUUUGACUGGGGCGGUCUCCUCCCAAAGCGUAACGGAGGAGCACGAAGGUUAGCUAAUCCUGGUCGGACAUCAGGAGGUUAGUGCAAUGGCAUAAGCUAGCUUGACUGCGAGCGUGACGGCGCGAGCAGGUGCGAAAGCAGGUCAUAGUGAUCCGGUGGUUCUGAAUGGAAGGGCCAUCGCUCAACGGAUAAAAGGUACUCCGGGGAUAACAGGCUGAUACCGCCCAAGAGUUCAUAUCGACGGCGGUGUUUGGCACCUCGAUGUCGGCUCAUCACAUCCUGGGGCUGAAGUAGGUCCCAAGGGUAUGGCUGUUCGCCAUUUAAAGUGGUACGCGAGCUGGGUUUAGAACGUCGUGAGACAGUUCGGUCCCUAUCUGCCGUGGGCGCUGGAGAAUUGAGGGGGCUGCUCCUAGUACGAGAGGACCGGAGUGGACGCAUCACUGGUGUUCGGGUUGUCAUGCCAAUGGCACUGCCCGGUAGCUAAAUGCGGAAGAGAUAAGUGCUGAAAGCAUCUAAGCACGAAACUUGCCCCGAGAUGAGUUCUCCCUGAGACUAUAAGUCUCCUGAAGGAACGUUAAAGACGAUGACGUUGAUAGGCCGGGUGUGUAAGCGCAGCGAUGCGUUGAGCUAACCGGUACUAAUGAACCGUGAGGCUUAACCUU